UAUGUCUUCCAUUCGGGAGUUGGCAUCAUUAUCAUAUCCUCUUAAGCUCUCCUCAAAAUCCUGUACUUCCCAGGGUGUAGGCUUUGUGGUACAUGGUUCCCUUUGCCUUCUGUUUUGUUAUUAGCCCUAUCCACAUCUUUUUUACUCCUCCAAUGGAACUGACUACUUCCCCCAGAUGAUGUUUUUUUCGAACUUUUGAUUCUUGGAGGCAUCAGAUGUUGCGUGAGUCUUUAAAGAGUUCAUGUAGGCUUUGUGCUGCCUCUGGACCCUUCUAAUCAUGGAGGCUCCCAUUUGUUUAGCGGGUUGCCCAUUUUUUCCGACCACGUACCAUUUUCUCCCGAGACGGGCAUGAUUAUCCUUUUUGACAGGAUUUGUUAUCCUAUCAUUUCUUUUUACUUCUCUUCCUGUAUGGCUAUAUUGAGGAUGCCAUAUCUCCCUCUCUUUUGGACCUUUGGCCUCCUUGUCUUCCGCCUCUUCAGAAGCUUCAUGAUUUCGAAACACUUCUGAUAAAGCUCUAGGUUGGGAAUCCCCUCCCAACCGCUGAAAAACACUUCAGGAAGUAUCUCUUCCUGCUGUCCGCCUAGCUUUCUCGCGGGCUUCUUUUCUUUCUUCUUCUUCUUUUCUCUUGAUCAGCUCAUGAUCAAUGAGGACUC
rnacentral:lncRNA from 1 species